AGUGAACGCUGGUGGUAGGCCUAACACAUGCAAGUCGAACGGCAGCACAGUAAGAGCUUGCUCUUACGGGUGGCGAGUGGCGGACGGGUGAGGAAUACAUCGGAAUCUACUUUUUCGUGGGGGAUUACGUAGGGAAACUUACGCUAAUACCGCAUACGACCUACGGGUGAAAGCAGGGGAUCUUCGGACCUUGCGCGAUUGAAUGAGCCGAUGUCGGAUUAGCUAGUUGGCGGGGUAAAGGCCCACCAAGGCGACGAUCCGUAGCUGGUCUGAGAGGAUGAUCAGCCACACUGGAACUGAGACACGGUCCAGACUCCUACGGGAGGCAGCAGUGGGGAAUAUUGGACAAUGGGCGCAAGCCUGAUCCAGCCAUACCGCGUGGGUGAAGAAGGCCUUCGGGUUGUAAAGCCCUUUUGUUGGGAAAGAAAAGCAGCAGGUUAAUACCCCGCUGUUCUGACGGUACCCAAAGAAUAAGCACCGGCUAACUUCGUG
rnacentral:rRNA from 1 species